UACGUAGGGGGCAAGCGUUGUCCGGAAUUAUUGGGCGUAAAGAGCUCGUAGGCGGUGUGUCACGUCGUUCGUGAAAACCUGCAGCUUAACUGUGGGCGUGCGGUCGAUACGGGCAUCACUGGAGUUCGGCAGGGGAGACUGGAAUUCCUGGUGUAGCGGUGAAAUGCGCAGAUAUCAGGAGGAACACCGGUGGCGAAGGCGGGUUUCUGGGCCGAUACUGACGCUGAGGAGGCGAAAAGCGUGGGGAGCAAACAGG
rnacentral:rRNA from 1 species